rnacentral:rRNA from 1 species
CUACGGGAGGCAGCAGUGAGGAAUUUUGGACAAUGGGGGCAACCCUGAUCCAGCAAUGCCGCGUGAGUGAAGAAGGCCUUCGGGUUGUAAAGCUCUUUUGUCAGGGAAGAAACGGUGACCACUAAUACUGGUUACUAAUGACGGUACCUGAAGAAUAAGCACCGGCUAACUACGUGCCAGCAGCCGCGGUAAUACGUAGGGUGCGAGCGUUAAUCGGAAUUACUGGGCGUAAAGCGUGCGCAGGCGGUUAUAUAAGACAGUUGUGAAAUCCCCGGGCUCAACCUGGGAACUGCAAUUGUGACUGUAUGGCUAGAGUGUGUCAGAGGGGGGUGGAAUUCCACGUGUAGCAGUGAAAUGCGUAGAGAUGUGGAGGAACACCGAUGGCGAAGGCAGCCCCCUGGGAUAACACUGACGCUCAUGCACGAAAGCGUGGGGAGCAAACAGGAUUAGAUACCCGAGUAGUCC